UCGCUCCCACUAGGUUUUCUCGAUAGUUUAUGAGAAUAAUUUCGUGUUAUAUUUUCUGUGUUCAUCUAUUGGUUGAUUCCUUGUCGACGCUUGAAAAUUUAUCGUUCUUGAUCUUCUUUAUCGUUUCGUAGUCCUAAAGUUUUCACUAUAAUGAACGGGACAGUGACGAUUUGAUAUAAGGUCUCGUUCGUCGUAAUUGGCUUCAGUCAUUGCCGACCAUUCUGAUAUAUCACCACCCAUAUUCUGAGUCCCUUUUAGGUUUGUUUUAGUUUUCAAAAAGUAUAUGUAUGUUUUUUUAACCGUUUUUCGUUUCAGGAUUUGUGUUUUUCCCCCUUUCCCAGUUAUUCGACAUUGGCCGAUGAUUAAAUCAUACAAAUAGACAAGCAUAUGUCUGAUCUUAGUCAUGAAGACUAUUCUAAUCUUCUCUAUGAGGCCUAUCAUACGUACAAUGUUUUCCGAUCUUAAUUUUUCUUCGUAAAUUACUUCUAUUUCAUAAUGAUUUUCGGGUGAUUUCCUCGUUUCUUUGCAAUUUUUUGUGGGUCGUCGUUGCUUUUAUUCUAUGAUGUGAGGUUCAAUGAAUGUUUUUCAUACGUCAAUGCUUUAGUUAAUGGAUAUGCUCUAUAGUUCCCCUUCCCCAAAUAUUUGUUUGUUGUUGAAGUUGACAUGAGAGGGUCAUAUGAUGAACAAAAGCAUAGUUCAAAUGAUAUUUCAGUGAUUAUAUUAUUUUACGUCUUUCGCUCCUAUCUGAUGACCUCUUCGCAUCCUUCAUAUCCAUCUGUUGCUAUUAUUGUAGAUGGAUUUUGUAUUUAUAAAUGUCUUUUUCAAAAAAAAAAAAUUAUUUGUUUACAAAUUUACAUAUACUGAAUGAAUAGAUUUAGAGCUUGUUUGGUUAUUGUUUUCAUUUUUAUUUCCGAAAGUUGUUUUAUAAAACAAUUUUAAAAACUGCUUUUGAGAACAAAUAAAAAAAAACUUGCCUGUUAAUUAUAAUCCAAAAACAAGUAUAGAAUUAAAAAAAAAACUUGCUUGGCAAAAUUAUUUUCAACUUUUCCUUUUGUGCUCUCGUGUUUUUUUUUUUCCUUGGCACCUUACAUUGACAAUUUAUAGGAUUAAGGUGUGAAUAUGUUUUGUUUUCUGAACAAUUGGAGGUAGAAUGGCGAAGGAAGAGAAUAGAUUGUAUCAUUGUGUGCUUGUGUUUCUUUCUUGAACAAUGGCGAAAGAAAAUAUUAGUUUGUGUUGUGGUUGUUACACAGUUUGAUGGAUAAUGCGUGUAUUGUAUCUGUAUGCGUCAUGACGUGGCCUAUGAUGAGAACUCCAAAGGCUUGUUUCUCAAAACAUUCGCAGUGGCCGCCUGAGAGCUUUCGCUUUGCCGGGCUUGAGAGCUUGUGCUGCCUUAAUCCUUCCUUGGAUGUCUGAGGCCAAAUUAUUGCUCUUGCAUUUCUGUUUAAAACUUAAGGUUUAUUCUCCUUUCUAUAUAUGCCUCUGGCUUUGCAUGAAGGUCCAAUGCGAACUUCAUAGGACUUCAGCUUAGAAUUCAGAACCCGUAUUGUUUUUGAAGGAGAGACCCUCUUGUGGUCUGUCUUGUUCCUGGAGUAAGAAAGUACGUGGUAAUCAUAGACGUCUUUUGAUCUACUGUUCAUUCUACCGCUCGAUAAUUGAAAGUGGUCCUCAGAAUUGCUUACUCAUACCCACUAUAAAGCUGUCUCCAAUGCUAACUUAAGGAUGCCUCAGGGAUACUCUUGUGGUGAGUAUUUUCCCGCAGUGAAAGCUAGUAGGCUUUUAUCAAUCAAUUGUACUUCUCACUAGUCUUACAUAUUUCACUACAGCAUCCUCCUUGGGGACAUCUCAGGGAUACUCGCCUUAAUGCUUCAUUUUCUCUAAGCUAAUGUAUAUUGAUAAGGUUAUUGUGUAAAUGUGAUUUUCUCUUCUUUUUUUUCCCUUACUUGGGUUAGAGUAUAAUAUGUGAACGUGAUUAUUUCCAGCAUAAUUGUGAUAAAGAAUAUACCUAUCAUGUGAGUGGGAAAACGUGGCCAGUGAUGAGACAUCCAAAGGCUUGUUUCUCAACAUUCGCAGUGGCUGCCUGAAGGCUUUCGCCUUCGCCGGGCUUGAGAGCUGAUGCUGCCUUAAUCCUUCCUUGGAUGUCUGAGGCCAAAUCAUUGCUCAUGCAUUUCUGAUUAUAACUCAAGCUUUAUUCUCCUUUCUAAAUACUUCUGACUUUUCACGAAGGUCCAAAUUUGAAUAUGGUAAUUUUUUAUUUGUUUGUUACUUUAUAAUUAGAAAAUUCUUUAGCAGAUUCAAGCAUAUGAUGCAAAAGCUAAUGUCAGGACACUGAAUACCUCGAAUAGCCCUUUAGAUUUUUACCUCCUGGCAACACUGUCUUGCAGUCUGAUUCAUCAUUUUCACUAAUGUGAAUUAUGUGAUUUUUUU